AACGAACGCUGGCGGCAUGCCUAACACAUGCAAGUCGAACGAGACCUUCGGGUCUAGUGGCGCACGGGUGCGUAACGCGUGGGAACCUGCCCUUAGGUUCGGAAUAACUCCCCGAAAGGGGUGCUAAUACCGGAUAAUGUCCUCGGACCAAAGAUUUAUCGCCUUUGGAUGGGCCCGCGUUGGAUUAGCUAGUUGGUAGGGUAAAAGCCUACCAAGGCGACGAUCCAUAGCUGGUCUGAGAGGAUGAUCAGCCACACUGGGACUGAGACACGGCCCAGACUCCUACGGGAAGCAGCAGUGGGGAAUAUUGGACAGUGGGCGAAAGGCUGAUGCAGCAAUGCCGCGUGAGUGAUGAAGGCCUUAGGGUUGUAAAGCUCUUUUACCCGGGAUGAUAAUGACAGUACCGGGAGAAUAAGCUCCGGCUAACUCCGUG
rnacentral:rRNA from 1 species